rnacentral:rRNA from 1 species
GGGCCCGCACAAGCGGUGGAUGAUGUGGUUUAAUUCGAUGCAACGCGAAAAACCUUACCUACCCUUGACAUGCUAGGAAUCCUGCAGAAAUGCAGGAGUGCCCGAAAGGGAACCUAGACACAGGUGCUGCAUGGCUGUCGUCAGCUCGUGUCGUGAGAUGUUGGGUUAAGUCCCGCAACGAGCGCAACCCUUGCCAUUAGUUGCUACAUUCAGUUGAGCACUCUAAUGGGACUGCCGGUGACAAACCGGAGGAAGGUGGGGAUGACGUCAAGUCCUCAUGGCCCUUAUGGGUAGGGCUACACACGUCAUACAAUGGCGCGUACAGAGGGUUGCCAACCCGCGAGGGGGAGCCAAUCCCAGAAAGCGCGUCGUAGUCCGGAUUGAAGUCUGCAACUCGACUUCAUGAAGUCGGAAUCGCUAGUAAUCGCGGAUCAGCAUGUCGCGGUGAAUACGUUCCCGGGCCUU